rnacentral:rRNA from 1 species
AUACGGAGGAUCCGAGCGUUAUCCGGAUUUAUUGGGUUUAAAGGGUGCGCAGGCGGGAGAUUAAGUCGGCGGUGAAAUUUUGCAGCUCAACUGUAAAAGUGCCUUCGAAACUGGUUUCCUUGAGUGUAGAUGAAGUAGGCGGAAUUUGUGGUGUAGCGGUGAGAUGCAUAGAUAUCACGAGGAACUCCGAUUGCGCAGGCAGCUUACUAAACUACUACUGACGCUCAGGCACGAAGGCGUGGGGAUCAAACAGGAUUAGAUACCCUGGUAGUCCACGCAGUAAACGAUGAUUACUAGCUGUUUGCGAUACAAUGUAAGCGGCUGAGCGAAAGCGUUAAGUAAUCCACCUGGGGAGUACGUUCGCAAGAAUGAAACUCAAAUGAAUUGACGGGG